GCGCAGGAGAUUUGAGUGGGGCUGACCUUAGUACGAGAGGACCGGGUUGGACGAACCUCUAGUGUAUCGGUUAUCACGCCAGUGGUAGCGCCGAGUAGCUACGUUCGGAAGGGAGAAACGCUGAAUGCAUCUAAGCGUGAAACCCUCCACGAGAUGAGAUCUCCCAGGGAUUUAUCCCUCUGAAGGCUCCUGGUAGACGACCAGGUUGAUAGGCCAGGUGUGGAAGCGUAGCGAUACGUUAAGC
rnacentral:rRNA from 14 species